UACGUAGGGUGCGAGCGUUGUCCGGAAUUAUUGGGCGUAAAGAGCUUGUAGGCGGUUUGUCGCGUCUGCUGUGAAAAUCCGGGGCUCAACCCCGGACUUGCAGUGGGUACGGGCAGACUAGAGUGUGGUAGGGGAGACUGGAAUUCCUGGUGUAGCGGUGAAAUGCGCAGAUAUCAGGAGGAACACCGGUAGCGAAGGCGGGUCUCUGGGCCGUAACUGACGCUGAGGAGCGAAAGCGUGGGGAGCGAACAGG
rnacentral:rRNA from 1 species